UUGGAGGGCAAGUCUGGUGCCAGCAGCCGCGGUAAUUCCAGCUCCAAUAGCGUAUAUUAAAGUUGUUGCAGUUAAAAAGCUCGUAGUUGAAUUUCGGGGUUCAUCCGUUGGUCGGGCUUUUUUGGUCUGUACUGGCGUGAUGGAUUCCUACCUUCUGAAUAACCAGCAUGUCAUUAAUUUGGUGCGCUGGGGAAGCAGGACUGUUACCUUGAAAAAAUUAGAGUGCUUAAAGCAGGUUAUCGCCUGAAUACAUUAGCAUGGAAUAAUGAAAUAGGACGGCAUGGUUCUAUUUUGUUGGUUUCUAGGAUCACCGUAAUGAUUAAUAGGGAUAGUUGGGGGCAUUAGUAUUCAAUUGUCAGAGGUGAAAUUCUUGGAUUUUAUUGAAGACUAACUUCUGCGAAAGCAUUUGCCAAGGAUGUUUUCAUUAAUCAAGAACGAAAGUUAGGGGAUCGAAGACGAUCAGAUACCGUCGUAGUCUUAACCAUAAACUAUGCCGACUAGGGGAUCGGACGAUGUUAAUUUUUAAUG
rnacentral:rRNA from 1 species